AGUUUGCAUUCAAUCUUCUACGUGAAGACCACAAAAACAUGAAUCUACAGCUUCAGCCUUACCAACCCACUAAUUUUACAGAAAACAAGGAUGACGAUAACUCAGAUACAAAAGUCUUCAGCUGCCGACAAGCAGUCGCCACCAAACUUUCAGAGGACAGUGUAGGUGGUCUCUACACUCUCCCAGAGCAGCAGAUGAUCAGAUGGAUGCUCUGAGAAUCAGCCUUUUACUGCUUCUGCCGUGUUUUACCUGCUUUUUGGACGGCGAAGUGACUCUUAGGAAAACAAUCGGGAAAGAACCAGAUUUUACUCCAAUCUGCACCAAUGAAACAUCAAAUAUCAUCAUUCUGAUAGUGUGCAAGAUCAGAACGGAGAGGAACAGUGGAGAGGAGUGCAGACUGCUGUAUAAGGAUAAAGGUGGCUUUACAAAUGAGUGUGGCUCAGCGUUCAAUCUUAAAACAAGGAAUCAAACUGUGUUUCUACACCUGACCAGUUUAACACCGCCUGAUAGUGGGAACUUGUCCUGUCAGUGUUCAAAUCCUGAAGGAACGUAUAUUCUCCAUCUCAGCAUCACAGUUAAUGAGUCUUUUCCAGAUGACAAUCCAGCAGAUGAAUUUUGGAGCCACUCUGCAGGAGUGAUCCUUCCUUCUGCUUUGACUGCUGCAGUUCUCUUCGUUAUCAUAGUUUCAGUAAUUGUGGGAUUUAUCUGCAGAAGACAUCUGGAUCGAACCUGUUUAGGACCCGAAACGUCUGGAUCAGCUGUAAAUGGAUCUGCUGCCACUGUAGAUGAAGAUGACUCUGACGAACUGCACAAAAGUUAUCAGCAGCCGACAAGCAAUCUCUACCAAAAUGUCCUCUCAGGUCACCAGAAACAUCAAACUGAAAGAAACUCAGCCAGAAACAAGGUUUAUGCUAACCUGGAAAAUCUGCAAGUUAACAGAAAUUAUGAAAUCUAUGAAAACAUUUAAAUAAAUAAAAAACAUAAUUUGAA